rnacentral:rRNA from 1 species
UACGGAGGGGGCUAGCGUUGUUCGGAAUUACUGGGCGUAAAGCGUGUGUAGGCGGUCCAUUAAGUCGGGUGUGAAAGCCCUGGGCUCAACCCAGGAAGUGCACUCGAAACUGGCGGGCUAGAGUAUCGGAGAGGUUGGUGGAAUUCUCGGUGUAGAGGUGAAAUUCGUAGAUAUCGAGAGGAACACCGGUGGCGAAGGCGGCCAACUGGACGAAUACUGACGCUGAGACACGAAAGCGUGGGGAGCAAACAGG